rnacentral:rRNA from 1 species
GACGAACGCUGGCGGCGUGCCUAACACAUGCAAGUCGAGCGAUGAAGUUUCCUUCGGGAAAUGGAUUAGCGGCGGACGGGUGAGUAACACGUGGGUAACCUGCCUCAUAGAGGGGAAUAGCCUCCCGAAAGGGAGAUUAAUACCGCAUAAUAUUACAGUUUCGCAUGAAACAGUAAUUAAAGGAGCAAUCCGCUAUGAGAUGGACCCGCGGCGCAUUAGCUAGUUGGUGAGGUAACGGCUCACCAAGGCGACGAUGCGUAGCCGACCUGAGAGGUUGAUCGGCCACAUUGGGACUGGUACACGGCCCAGACUCCUACGGGAGGCAGCAGUGGGGAAUAUUGCACAAUGGGGGAAACCCUGAUGCAGCAACGCCGCGUGAGUGAUGACGGUCUUCGGAUUGUAAAGCUCUGUCUUUGGGGACGAUAAUGACGGUACCCAAGGAGGAAGCCACGGCUAACUACGUGCCAGCAGCCGCAGUAAUAC